UUUGAUUACUUUUGUUUGUCCUUUCUCUCGUCUCCUCCUUCCUCCUCAGCCUUUUUAUCUUCUUCUCUGGCUUCUCUAUCUCACACACUCACAAAUCAGUCUCUUCUUUCUCUCGCAGAGUCAGUCAAUCCUCAAGACUGAAAUGGAGAAAGGAGAAGGGGAAGCUUAUAUCUUUUGAGGGGAAUGUUGUCUGGCUCGAGGCCACUAAUACUUAGAUCUCUAACAAUCUCUUCUUUUCCUUUUUAGAAUUUUUAAAUAAUUUUUGUUUGAUAGAGCAAUCAUAUAUAUUAGGGACGUCGGACCAGGCUUCAUUCCCCCCAAUUGGUGCUCCCUCAAGACGAUAUUAAUUUAUGUCCAUUUAUGGCUUUGAUCUGAAAGAUCCAAAGUUUAGUCAACAUCCAUCAGCAUUGACGCCAAUUAUGGAUUCUCUCCUUUACCCACGACAAAUUAUGUCAUUAAUAAUAUAUAUAUAUUUAUAUAUAUGUGCCUAUUUUGAGCACUAGCAACUGUUUGUUAAUAUUGGACCCCACUUUUCUUUUUUGAUGAAUAUUGUCUUUAAUUUUUCUCAGACUCGGUGUAAGUAUAGUACAGAAAUGUCAGCAUAUUUUUGUGAAUAUAUAUAGAUAUACAUAGUUA